rnacentral:rRNA from 1 species
GACGAACGCUGGCGGCGUGCUUAACACAUGCAAGUCGAGCGGUAAGGCCCCUUUGGGGGUACACGAGCGGCGAACGGGUGAGUAACACGUGGGUGACCUGCCCUCAGCUCUGGGAUAAGCCUGGGAAACUGGGUCUAAUACCGGAUAUGACUCCAUGACGCAUGUUGUGGGGUGGAAAGCCUUGUGCGGCUGGGGAUGGGCCCGCGGCCUAUCAGCUUGUUGGUGGGGUGAUGGCCUACCAAGGCGACGACGGGUAGCCGGCCUGAGAGGGCGACCGGCCACACUGGGACUGAGACACGGCCCAGACUCCUACGGGAGGCAGCAGUGGGGAAUCUUGCGCAAUGGGCGAAAGCCUGACGCAGCGACGCCGCGUGAGGGAUGACGGCCUCGGUU